rnacentral:rRNA from 1 species
AUGGAACCUGCCCGCAGCAGGGGGAUAAGCGGAAGAAAUUCCGUCUAAUACCGCGUAACAACGUUGGGAGGCAUCUCCCGAUGUUUAAAGAUUUAUCGGCUGCGGAUGGCCAUGCGGCGCAUUAGCUAGUCGGCGGGGUAACGGCCCACCGAGGCGACGAUGCGUAGGGGUUCUGAGAGGAAGGUCCCCCACACUGGUACUGAGACACGGACCAGACUCCUACGGGAGGCAGCAG